CUGUAAUUUCCUAUAUUACCUCUGUAUUUUCCAAGGAAAUUUGUAGAAUUUUCAUCAUUACUUCAAUCAAACGCAAUCAAGUCAGAAGCAAAAAAACACACCAUACGAUAAAACAUUGAAUUAUUUACAAAAAAAUUGUGCAAACUAUUUUAAUUGAAAGUGAAUUGCAAUUACAAGCAUAUAAUUUACAUUUAAACAGUGUUAAAACAUAAAUAUAAACAAUAUGUCGCUGUUUGGUUCAUUAAUGGGAGAUUUCGAUGAUGACAUCUUUGGAAAUCACAUGAAUGCUAUGAAUAUGCAGAUGCGUUCUAUGAACCGUUUGAUGAAUUCGUUUAUGCCCGAUCCCUUUAAUAUGUUGACCAAUUUUGAUGGCGGUUUCCAACAAAAUGCUUUAAUGGAACGUCAAAAUCCUCAUCCCAUGGGUGGUUUAUUUGGUUUUCCUGCCAUGCCCAAUAUGAAUCGUUUACUAACUGCAGACAUUGGCAAUAAUGGCGGUGCAGCAUUUUGUUCAAGUUCUGUCAUAACCAUGUCCUCUGGCCCGGACGGGCGUCCACAAAUCUAUCAGGCUACUAGCAGCACAAAAACUGGACCAGGUGGCAUACGCGAAACACGCCGUACUGUACAGGAUUCAGUUAAUGGUGUUAAAAAAAUGGCUAUUGGUCAUCAUAUCGGUGAUCGUGCUCAUAUUAUUGAAAAAGAACAAGAUUUACGUUCGGGUCAAUUGGAAGAACAUCAAGAAUUCAUUAAUUUAGAUGAAGAUGAAGCAGAAGAUUUUGAUCGUGAGUUUACAACAAAAGCACGUGGUCCCGCUGGACGCAUGGGGGCCAGAGCUAUAUGUGCUGCCGCGCCAGUAGCACCACCACAACAAACACUUACCAUCGAAGAAAUUGAGGAUGAUGACGAUGAUGUUAUUGAAACGGUUCCUCAUGUCCAAAGGCCUUCGUCAUCAUCUUCACAACAUCGUAGACAUAUGCCAGCUAUACCAGCACCAUCCCAACCACCAUCAACUCAAUUACAUCAAAAUAGCUCUACUUCUAAAUUGAGUACGUCUACUACUUCCUCGGCUACCAAAAUGUCGCCGUCGUCGCCAUCGUCUACGUCGAGAAAUAAUAUAAAUGCUCGGUCCUCGACUACAACAAUGUCUACAUCAUCAACACCCACGAUUACGACAAGCAGCAGUAGCAGUGUCAAUAACAAUCCGUAUUUAUCGACAACUCCCAGACGUUCGACUUACCGUGGCAGUCAUCAUUUGACAGGAGCCUCUGCACGCAGACCUCUGCGUACGCCACCAUCUUCGCCCUUAGCUACAACACCAACAAUUCACAGCCACAGUACAGCAUCUACGCCAAGAGAUUGGCGUUUAUAUAACCCACGUUUCUAUCGCAAGUAAACACAAUCAAAAAAUAAAACGAUAAUAAAAUGUUAAAGCAAAACCAACCAACAACGAUCGCGAAGAAUGAAACCCGAUAAUGUAUUGCAGAAAACCACAAGAAAAAUAUAUGAUAAUGUUUUGAAAUAAUGCGUUCAGCUUAAUAUUAUUACUACGACAUAUAGCAAAAUAACUACCACCAUCCAUCCAUAUACUCCACACAUGUUUAUUAUACAAGUAGUUUUAGAAUUUCAUCGCAUAGAUAUCAAAUGAUAAAACAAAGGCAACGUGCAUCAUAGAUAAUUUCUAACAAAGAAACGAAUACGUUUUACCUUUUUCUGGUCCACAAAACGAUUUUUUUCUCUCUUCUCCUCUCUGUCUCUCACCAACCACCACCAUCUAGUGAAAAUUCUUAAGCAACAACGUACCUGGGUCUACGUCGUACAUCCACAUCCUUAUAAUAGCUCGGCAGCCAGACGUUCCCAUCAUCAUCACCACAGCCACCACCAUCAGCAUCGUCCUAAACAACAUGCAACAAAACAACAGUAUACAACAACUACUACUUCUGCUAACAGCAAUAAUCAAACAUCUGUCUCUCCGUCACAACAACAACAGCAACAACCCCGGGAGGAAGACAGCAACUCCAAAUAAAUGUGACCAAGAGUUUAAGAAAUUGCAAAAAAGAAAAACUUCCAUGUUUUUCUUAAGAUUUGUUUUGGGAACGAACAGAAAAUUAUAUUAGGAUUACUUAUUAAUUAACUAUGGACAAAAUUAUUAAUAUUAUUUACCUUAUUUUAUCAUAAAAAUUACAUUUAGUUUAGUUUUACUACAAUAAUAUCUCAAGAAAAUUCUUUCAACUGUGUGAAUGAGUCCGAGAGAAAGAAAGUACGCAAGAUAAAUUCCAAGUAUGAUUGUUGUAACAAACAAAACUUUUGGUCUUUGUUGGUAUGGCUGGCCGUGUUAGUUGGCAAAGAAUUUUUCUAAAAUUGAAUUUUUUAAAUCUUUCUUUUUUUCAAUACAAAUUUAUAAUUAAUAUUAUUUUUUAUAUAUUUUAAGUUUCUUUUUAAUAACAAUAUUCUUGUAAUGGAAUUUUCAAUUUAAUUUGAUUUCCUUUUUAUGUUUUUUACAAAAUUCAAGUCCUUUAAAUUAAAAAAUUCAAUUUCAUUUAUGUUCUAUUUUAGUUUUAUUUAAACGUAAUAAAACAAUAUCGUAAAGUAAUGUAGUAUGUAAUAAAAAAUAACAAAAAAAGCAAACAAGUAAUAA